CCCACACUUUGCCUCCAACUCAAUCACAGAGGACUCGGUCCUUCAUCCUGGCAUCAAAGUCUGUUUGAUCAGCUUUUCAUCCAUUUUCCGAAAAUGUGGGAUUUAGGGAUGCUCUGAAUCUUGCAGGACUAGAAGUGCGGCGCCCUGACAAUAUACUGGGGUAGCCCCCAACCUGCCAUUGGAAUCCUGUUGGGUGGCAGUUCCCUGUGUUUUCAGAGAAGACAGCGGGGAAUCCGAGAGACUGCCAAGUUCACGAGUCACGAUCAAGGAGGGCCACGGGUCCGUUGGUCAAGUGAUGGGCAAGGCCAGGGGUACCUGGCGGGGUGCAGGCCUCAGGGCCAGGGAGCCCGGGGGGUCCUGGCAGGCAGGGCUGUGGGUGGCUCUGGACCAGCGCUCAGGGUGAGGAAGGAGGCAGAACAGAGCAGGGAGGACACCAAGGACCCAGCAAGGGUUGCUAAGAGGCAGAAUGAAAUCAGGGCUCAGAAAGUGCAAAACGCAAAGACCUAUGAAGAAAAGCUAAUCACCCCCACACUCCCACCCCCCAGUCCCUCUCCCCAAAAGUGUCUACACCCUCAAGCUCCCCUGCUGCAACUCUCCUGACUCUGCACACAAAUAAAGCCACAGUCGGGGAUCUGGGCCUGUUUGCUUUUACUACAAUACGGCCAUCCUUGCUCUUUUUACUGGAAUGCGUCUUGCUUGGGGCUGCACCUGGCAGGUCAGCUAACUCAGGUGGGGACGGCCAGGUAAGGCUAUAGGGAAGAGCCAGGAUCUGCUCCACCCAGCAGCGGGGAAGGACUGGAGGGGGCAGAGGGUGGGGAGCUGAAAAGAAGCCAGAGGGAGGAGCUGAGGAUGGGCGCCCCGCCCGGCCCCACUAAGUGACCUUGGGAGGACCAGAGUCCCCACCAGAACAUGGAGGCUGUUCCUGGGGGUGAGAGAGGAUGCUGGGCAGACAAAAACUGGCAGAACCACUCCACUCAUAAAAGGAUGUGUUGUCAGGCACUUUUCUAAUGCAUAAUACCUCCCUCCCUUUGUUUCUCAUCUGGGGCGGGGAGGGGUGGUGUCAGCUAGUUGCCCGCUGGGGAGAUUGCUGGGAGGAGGGAGAAGCAAUAGGGUUUAUGAGGAAAGGUGAAUUUGUG
rnacentral:lncRNA from 1 species